CACGCGCGCGCUCUUCAAGGGUUCGCGCGGGAUCGCGCACGCUACUUCGACUGCUCCCGCUUGCGCCUGCUUGGCGGUUUCGUGCGCGUGUAUCGUGGACCAAGUUUUCUCAUGAAUUCGGACAGCUUUUACUGCAAUGCAGGAUGGAGUACACCUCAGCUUUUAAGACAUCACAGCCAACUCGGCAUUCACAAAUGCAACUUCUCAUGCAAUCAGAGGCCAAGGCAGUGUGGCUGAAGAACUGCACCUUGAGAGAACAGUCUGCUGCUAAAAAACACUGGGAUGGUCCAGCUAUCCAGCAACUGAGGACGGUGAGAAGUCACAGCAUGGACACCGCCACUGCUGUAACUCCUGUGACUAUGAGACUGGGUACUUGUCCAGUAUGAAAAAGCACAUCAGGGUUCAUACAGGCGAGCGGCCAUGUCAGUGUCACCUGUGUCCUCGGAGCUUCUCACGUAAAGACCAUUUGAUACGUCACCUGCGUGCCCACAGACAGGAGCGGCCACACAAGUGCCACGUGUGUUCCCAGAGCUUCUCUCAAAAGUCUAUAUUGAGAGAUCAUCUGCACAUGCACACAGGCGACCAGCCGCAUAAGUGCCCCUUAUGUCCUCAGACGUUUGCAUGGAAAAACAGCUUAAACAGGCACUUGCGCACACACAAACGCAAGUGAACAUUUCAGUGGGACUUCUGCUAAUUCCUGUUUUUAGAGGCACGUUCGCCUAAAGUCCCCGAAAAAUAACUGCUAAAGUGGCGCCAUUCAUGUCACUGUUGUAGAGGCAUGUCCUCUCAAGUGCACUUUGCAGAUUUUAAAUGAAGUCGGUUAAGGUGCAAAGCUCGCAAAUCAUAGCUCUUGGCUGGAAGAGGGGCUUGUGCAAUUUUUCCACUAGAGUGCACGAGGGUGCUGGGUUUCUAAGCGGCUCAGUGGGAAAGGUCCGCGAAAUAAAAUGGAAAGAAUAACGAUAAGUACAACAAUGCGAUGUAUACAGAAGCAAGUGGCGUACUUUCGUGGUAUCCAAAAGUAAAAAUGUACGGAACGUAAUCAAAGAGUACACGAAAGUGCUCGCUCCUGAUGGCAUGGCAACUGCAAACUCGACGGCGCUAAGAAAGCGCUAGCUUUCAACAAUUGCAUUAGACUAUACUUCCAAGUGUGAUAGUCUAGCUUUUUAGAAAGUCGUGCAAGCGCCAUAUUGCUUGUCUGUGUCUGGGUUGGUUGCUGGAUCAUUGCACGGUGUGUGGUCUGUUUGUACGGUGGUUCGGCAUGCUUCGAUACGCCGGCUUGCUAUGCCAACGAUAGCAAAAACAGAUACAACAGCAGAAAGAAGCUUUUUUCACUACUGCGAGAAAAAUCUGUAGUUUCUUGGUGGACACCCUAGAGGCACUGCUGCAGCUGCUAGGCGUGGAAGCAAAGGUGAAUGGGACGCAGUUGGCGCUACUUUAUACUUUUCGGGGACUUUACAUCUGACUGGUCUUUUACAGCACUCUGACAGUGCUUAGUUUGGUAUGAAAACUUAAAGCAUAACUUUAUUAGUGACAGCGCAGCUUCAUCAUUGCCUCUAGAGCAUUGUGAUGCAUAGCAUAAAAUAUAUCAACUAGAGUUAAUUACUUUUUGCUGGGCUCCUUUACAGCAUUCUUAUGUAACCGGUUGAAGGUGCCAUAUGUCGCAUUUUCAAGAAAGAUGUGUCCAUUGUAAUGAGCGAACACACCUCUGCAUUGCCAAUUCCAAACCUUUUCUACUAGCCACUUACCUGAGCCAACACGAAGAUGCAGUACCUUUACAAUAUCAGUCAGGUCACCAGCCAUGUUUGAAUUAAAGGUCUGCAUGCGUGUGCAAUAUGUUAUGUUGCAUUAUGUUUUUAAAUGUUCAAUGUGUUUCUAGGUUAUGUGGGUGUCCUGUAGUAAUUCUCCUACCUAUUUAAAUAUAGCUUCGCAUUAAGAGAUGUCUGUGAGAGCAUAAGAAAAGCUUAUUAUGUGUUGUUUUUCUAAUGUGUUAUCUUAGUAAACUACAGGAAUGUCCUUUAUGGGUGAAGUGGAAGGGAUAUUUUGAUACCUUGCCUUAUGGGACCUAAGCAGCACUGAACUUUUUGAAAGGCAACCUGUGUCACUCUGCUAAGCUAGAGGGUGUGGGUGCGAUUGCCGGCCACGGCAGCCACAUUUCUAGAGAGGCUAAAUAGAAGAGCAUCAGUGUACUUAGAUUUAGAUGCAUGUUAAAAAAAAAACCAGGUGGUGAAAUUUGAUGUGGAGUCCCCUACUAAGAUGUGCCUCAUAAUCAUAUCGCAGUUAAUUAAAUAUUAUUAUUAAGAACAUGAACAGUGUGGAUCCACAAAUCUGUUUCAUUAUGUCACUGGGAUUUUUGUGUUCUUGCUGGAGUGUUUCUUUCAAUAUAAUUUUCUAGCUCAACAGAUGCCUCCUGUACUUUAUAUCAUUUUGUCAUUUACUUACGCUUUUUCUCAAGCAACACAUCAAAGCACUUACAUAGCACUUGUUCACCAAAGAUUUCUCUUAUGUCACCUGGCCAAACUUGCACUACACUAUUCUAUUGAGGAUCAAAUCGAAUUAAAAGCUAAAUAAGUUUGGAGUUCUCAUAAUCAGAGCCACAUUGCGCCAUAUUUGCAUCAAUGCUUUUUCCAUGUUUUGUAUGUUUGCUAACCCAUCUCACACCAUUUCACACGGCCAAUUUUUUUAUAGUAGGCUUGUCUUACCUUGAGAAAUUGGUGUCAUUUAUUGCACUCAAUAUGAGGUUCUAGACUGAUCCUAGGCUUCCGUGAACUUUCUGCAGCUCUGGCUCAUUCAUUGACAAAUAUUCUGAAAACACCUUUGUGGCGUUGACUGAUUUACAGCUUGAGAUUACACCGGUUCACUUACAUGUCCUUGCAAGCUGUCCAUGUUUGUGUGCUUAUUUUCGGAGGAACAUAUGGUGACCCUGUGGUUGUAUGUAAACAUCUGCUUAAAAUUGUUUGCAGUUACAGAAUGUUUAAUGAUGGCAUUAGAAAAAUGAGUGUUAGCGAGUUCUGAACAUUUGUAGUGACCAAAAACCUGUGAUUUUUGGCACAUACUGUUUGUUCCUGUUUUGUAUGUUCGGCAAUGCAAAUGCUGUGAAAUUCCAACGGCACUCUUUGUAUUCACCUGCCAGCAUUCGUGUAGUGCAUUUUUCAAUUGACACAAC
rnacentral:lncRNA from 1 species